rnacentral:rRNA from 1 species
AUUGAACGCUGGCGGCGUGCUUAACACAUGCAAGUCGAUCGGUAACAGGUGUAGCAAUACAUGCUGACGAGAGGCGGACGGGUGAGGAAUAUUUGGGAAUCUGCCCAUCAGCGGGGGACAACCCGGGGAAACUCGGGCUAAUACCGCAUACGCUCUACGGAGGAAAGCCGGGGACCGCAAGGCCUGGCACUGAUGGAUGAGCCCAAAUCGGAUCAGCUAGUUGGCGGGGUAACGGCCCACCAAGGCGACGAUCCGUAGCUGGUCUGAGAGGACGAUCAGCCACACCGGAACUGAGACACGGUCCGGACUCCUACGGGAGGCAGCAGUGGGGAAUAUUGGACAAUGGGGGAAACCCUGAUCCAGCGACGCCGCGUGGGUGAAGAGGGCCUGCGGGUUGUAAAGCCCUUUCGGUAGGGAAGAAAUCUCUUGUCUUAACACGGCAGGAGUUUGACUUAACCUACAUAAGAAGCACCGGCUAACUCUGUGCCAGCAGCCGCCGUAAAAC